UACGGAGGGUGCAAGCGUUAUUCGGAAUUACUGGGCGUAAAGCGCGUGUAGGCGGGGAUGCAAGUCUGAUGUGAAAGCCCUGGGCUUAACCUGGGAAGUGCAUUGGAAACGGCAUCUCUUGAGUACUGGAGAGGAAGGGGGAAUUCCCGGUGUAGAGGUGAAAUUCGUAGAGAUCGGGAGGAAUACCAGUGGCGUAGGCGCCUUUCUGGACGGCAACUGACGCUGAGACGCGAAAGCGUGGGGAGCAAACAGG
rnacentral:rRNA from 1 species